CGCCGGAGACGUCACAGUUAAAGCCACGCCUGUCUGAGUGAUGUCAUUCCUGGCCAAUAGCAAGCCAAGCAUUGGACCCGUGGCGCCAAAUCCUGUCUUCCCCGCUUCCAGAAGCUAGAAUCAGCCGUAUUGCACGCCUUACCGAUCACAGCAGCAGUCAGUGCUCUCCUCAGAGAUCUGAAUUCUACCUUCAUGGAACCCCUCCCUUGAGCUCCUGAGAUAGCCAAUGUUUGAGCCACCUCCUCAGGAGUUUGAGCCCCAACACCGUGGGAUCCCUUCUUUGAGCUCCAGAGAUCCAGCAACAGCCAGCCAUCACCCUCUCUACAUUCUUCAUAGGCCUGAACUAAGGUGUUCAGGGCCCUCCUCCAAGCUUUUAGGUUCUGAUGACUCCAACCACUUCUUUUGUUCCAUCCUUUCCUAGCUCUAAGAAUGGUUAGCUGCUACCUCCAGUGAUUACCUGUUACCUUUUAUAAUUCCUUUUGACCAAUUUCCCAUAUUAAAAUAUUUCUCAAUAACUAAUGU